CCUCUCUGUUGUUUUCUGAUUCACCUAUUUAGGUGGUCAUCCUCCCCUUGAGACAUGUGGCUUCUGCCUUUUGCCCCUUGAAAACCCUUAGGGUAACGAGAAAAUAGAGGGGAAGGGAAGAGGAGAGGGAGGGAAAGGGUCACCACCGUGACACCGCCGCUGUUGUCGCCAUGUUGCAGUGGUGUUUUGUUGUUUGGGGUUUUUUUGCCUAAGUAGAGAGAGAACGUGAAGAGAGAGAAAGAAGGGGAGAGAGAAGAGAGAGGAGCGGUGACCAAAGGGUCACUACCACGGCCACCAUAGUUUUUGUUCGUGAUUGGUUCCGAUUGAACUAUUUGGGCAAUAAUCCUCUCUUGAAACAUGUUUUCCUCCUUUAUACCUUAGCCCUCUUAAAGAAAAUGUCAGGGCGGUGACCGGAGGGUCACCACCGUUGGAUUAAGUCCGUCUUGGCGACGACGAUUUUUAAACCCUGCGAUGAUGUUGGCUUGCUACCCGGUAUGGCAACUCCGGUUGCAACCGUCGCGCCACUGACCACCGGUGGAUUAAGUCUGUCUUGGCGACGACGAUUUUUAAGCCCUGCGAUGAUGUUGGCUUGCUACCUGGUAUGGCAACUCCGGUUGCAACCGUCGCGCCACUGAGAUGGUUCAACGACGAUGAUGAUCUUCUCAGAUCUGAGUCGAUUUGUGUUGACUGUGUAUAUGUCUAUUUGAUGGGAAUUUGA
rnacentral:lncRNA from 1 species